UAUAUAUCAUCCGGUUGACCAAAAUAAAUAGAUUGUAAUAGUAUUUGGCAGAUAUCCACACAAGUUUUUCAAAAAUUAAAUUAUUUUUUUAUUUUUUUUUCUGUAAUUUUCUUUCCAACCAAUGAGAAUAUGACAAAUUGUAGGUGAUUCUCUCAAAUUUUUUUUUGAAAACUGCCCUGGUUCUUUUAAAGUCUUUGAAAAAUCUCUCAUAUCUAUAUUUCGUAUGAUAGAUCUCUCUAUUUCAACUUUAUUUCAUCUCUUUUUCAUUUAAAUUAAGCGAUUUUUGUAGAGAUUUGUAUCAUAUAUGCUAAAAGUUGUUUUCUCAAAAUAUAAAAAAUAUAUUUAAAAUUGAAUCAGUUUCGAAAUCAAUGUAAUUUUAAUAGUAUUUUCAUAUUUCAACUCAUUUUCAGAUAAGUUCCCCAACUAAAUUUUAAUUUAUUUCAUGAGGAAGCAUGCUCAAUACAUUUUUUAUUCAUAAUAAUGAGACAGAGGAGACUAAAAUAAGGUUAAUAUAUAUUUAUGAACUUAUUAAGGUGUAUGAUAUUCAUCACAUAUAUACUAUAAGAAUAACGAUAAUGUUGGUCAACGAAUAUUCCAAUGAUUCAUUUAGGUGUCAAAGUUAUUUAUUAACAAAAAUAAAAGAGAAAAUUGGCUUUUAUGCCAUAAACUAGGACGUAUUAAUGAGCUUAUCAUUUUCAUUCAACCUUAUAAACCGUUUCGAUUUUAACCCUACUCCCCCCCUCCCCCACCCCACUCUAUCUUAGAUGUGUCAUGUGGGUUGUGCCAGUAAGUCAGCCAGUCAUGUGAGGCUCAUUUUCCGAAACAUAUUUGUGUGUGCAAAUCGGAGUUGAGAUGUGUUUUGCGGCGUAGGUGAAAGUUGUUUCGGAUCUAGAGUUGGAGCAAUUGAUGAAGUCCUUUCCAAAUUAAGAAGCUACUAAAGAGCGAAGCUUUUCAAGUUGGGUUAUGAUGAGUUCUUGAAGUUGUUGUUCAAUGUGGAUAACUUUUGUAUUAGUUGCUAUUAUAUCGAUUAUCUGAUAUUAUUUAGAUUUCAAUGAAUUUUAUGUUUUAUUUCAAUUUUUUUAUCAGUUGUUACAAACAUGUACCAAAAAUUGUAAAUUAUUAGUAAGUUGUCAAAUGGUUAUAUACAUAAUUUGUUAGUUGA